AGUGUGUUGUGGGGUAAGGGUUCCACACGAUUAUGCGCGACGGGCCGGCCUCAAAAUUAGGGUUUCCUCCACCGGCGAACUUUAGUGCCCCCGAUUCCUUCUUGUAAUUUCAGGGUGUAGAUCAAACGUUGAAGCUCCCACUCGAUCGUUUUUUGGGUUGAAGUUCCGUGCUGAUUACGCGUCUCUGUGAUUCUCGAUUCCGAGGUUAAGGGUUGUUUUAUUCUCUUCUUCUCACUUCGGCUGUUGUUGGAUUCUUGCAAGCGCGUUUUUUUGGAAGGAAUUGUUUUGUGCGAGCUGGGGAAGCGACCUAGUGGAGAGGAUUUGGUUUUGAUGCUUGAGUGAUCGACUUGUGUGGUUUACGUUUGGUUUUGGGAUAAUGUGCAUCCUUUGUGUGGUCAAGAGGUGUUCGCGGAGGGUUGCGACCCUGCUGCCUUGGUUGUUGAUUCCGCUCCUCCUAGUCUGGGCCAUGUCGCCGUUACUACCUCCGGUGUUGCAGUUUGAAAUCACUUCACCCCAGGUCGCUUGCGUGCUGGUCCUCUUCGUGACACUCUUCUGGUAUGAGGUCUUGAUGCCCUGGUUGUCGCGAUGGCGGUUGUGCCGCUCGGCUCGCCUUCAGGAGCACCAGCGGACGCGUGCUAUUGAAAUGGAGAAGCUCCGGAAGAUUGCCACCCGCUGCUGCCGCAAUUGUCGCAUGCCAUACAGAGAGCAGAACCCUGGUGGAGGACGUUUCAUGUGCUCCUAUUGUGGCCUUGUUUCUAAGAGGCCUGCUUUGGACCUUCCUGAGUCAGUUGGGAGCUCGGUGAUAAAUGAGUUAGCAGGAAAGACUGGAUGGCUGCAUAGUCAGAAUUUGUCAGCGGAGGGAAAGAAGAGCUGUCUUAACCCUAUUCCAUCCUGCUGGGUAAAUCAUGAUCGUUGUUCCCUGGAGAUAUCUUGUUCAGGUUUGGUGUGUUUAGCUCGCAAACUACUUUUUUGUUUUUUGCCUAGCUUGAGGUGGAUCUGCAGAAGAAUUUUAAGAGAUAGUUCUAGGGAAGAUGAUUUCAAUUCUGAUUGCAGAGGUUCAUGUAAGAAUGAGGACAAUGAAGGAAACCUGCAGGAGAAAAGGGAGAAAGCAAAGAGGAAAACUGAAGAGAAACGGCGGGCAAAGUUGGAAAAAGAGAUGUUGGAAGAGGAAGAGAGAAAGCAAAGGGAGGAGGUUACAAGAUUAGUGGAAGAAAGGAGAAGAAUACGUGAUGAGAUGCUUAAAAUUGAGAGAGGGCAUGACAACAGCUCUGAUAGAGAGGGCGAAAGUUUCGAAGGGAAAACAACAGAGAAAGGAAGGAAAGAGAGAAGGAAGGAUAGAGAUAAGGAUUCUAACAAAAAUAAUUCUUCUAACAUGGAGGAUAUUGAAAAGAUUAGUAGGAAAAGUGUGAGUAAGCUUGAAUCAGACAACAAAAAUGAUAACGAAAGAGUUGAUACAGCAAAAAGUACAAUAGAGGUUCCCAAAUCAUAUACUAUGGGAACUUCUCAUGGAAACAAGUCCACAAAUAAGCCUAGAUACUUUGCUUAUAUGACAGGCAAUCUUUUAUCGUCAUAUCGAGGUUUUAGAGGUGCUUCAUUUUUUGGAAGAAAUCCUCAGGAUCCAAUUACAACUGAUCAUGUUUCUGAAAAUCAAAGAGUUUGUCAAGUAGCAGGAGAUAAAUUGGUGAAGGCUUCUUCAAAUUGGGAUGAUGGUGGUCAGCGGGCCAAUAUUCACCAUCCUCUAUCUUCAUUUACCCAGAAACAACAAAUGAAUCCAACAAAAUCAUGGCAGCAAUUAUUCACCAGUUCAGCGCCUGUCACUUCUGAUCCUAGACCUGGUGAAACUAUAUCUAGCUUUCACAAUGGGGUUGGCCAACUAGAAGCGCAGAGUUCACACUUAGUUGCCCAAACCUUACUUACUUUGAAUGACAAAUCUUCUAAUACAUGUACUGCAGCCUCUGAAUCCUUUAGUAGCAGUUCAGUCUCAUCAUUGUUAGAUGAAUCUUUUUAUACUUCUAGAAACCCUGGGAUAAAAUCAAUAGGGGAAGAAUCCAAAGAUGAAGAUUCAUGUUAUGUUCCGGAUCCAAUAUCCUUACUCGGGCCAGUUUCUAAGGCACUUGAUAACUUUUCAUUGGAUCUAGGAGACAACUUUCUUUCUAAUGAUAAGACACUAGUCUUAAAGAAUUCAUGUGCUCCUGGAAACAUAGCCAAGCCUUCUCCAAUUGAGUCUCCUCUCUCCAAAGUGCGUGUUUUAGAAGAGAAGCAUGCUUGUUUUGGCAAAAUUCCAUCUGCAUCACUGGAUUCAAAUGCUUCAAAUUUGGAUGAGUCACAGGGUACAUGGCAGAUGUGGGGAACUCCAUCAGUUCAGUUUGAUUUGGGAAUUUUAGGUGGAUCUUCCAGCUGGUCUUUACCCAUAGCACAGAAAGACUUUAAGCGAGGAGAUGAUUUAGAUCCCAUCUCUCAUGACCUUAUGGUGUCAAAAAAUGCAGGUGUUAUCCCUACCUUUUCAGAUUUUCAGGCUUGUCAGAAUGUUUAUGAGACUAAUCAGCUGGAUGAAGGAUUCUAUAAUCAACAUGCUACUGGAAUGGAUGACAACAAUCAAUGCAUUCAGAAGUUAUCAACACAGUCAUUAGGUGCUGAUAGGGAUAACCAUUUUCUUCCCCAUAGUCUCAUAGACAAUAUGGAGCAACUUGAAACAAAUUACAAUAGCCCAAAUAAAUCAAUAACUGACGGUUCUUUGGAUCUAUCGCUUGUAAAUUGCUGGUUCAGAUCUAGAAGUUGAUCAUGCAAGAUUUUAGAAGCGUCUGGUACAUAUUAUUCAUUUUUGGAGUUCCUUGCCAAGAGCAAUUUUGAAGCUGUUUUCUCAAUUGCAACCUUGGCCUUUGGUUCAACCAGCUAGAACCUUUAUGCAUGUAGAGGGUAACGAGUCCACCCAGCGUUGGUAGGGAGGAAGAGACGCUUCAAAUCAGCCAUCAGGAGCAUGGAAAGCUCUCCCCGUCCAGUGCCCAAUAAUUGAAGGUUUCUUCUCAUAUAGUGCAGAUAUAGAACAGGAGAAACUUUACAUUGUAUCAUGAAUGCAAACUCAAUUUUCAUUUUACAAGCAUGAAUGGACAGAUGACUCGCAUGUAUUCCCCAUUCAACGGGAUGACAAAAGGAUAGGUUGCAGCGUC